AUUUAAAUAGCUUAUAGUAAGAGUAUAAUAUUGAAGAUAUUAGGGAGAUUAAUUAAAUCUUUAAAUA
rnacentral:tRNA from 2 species